UCAUUUGUCACGCUAUCUAUUUAUGUAUUUAUGUAUCUAUUUAUUUAAAUGCUUAUUGAUUUAUACAUUUCUUUAACAUUCAUUAUUUAUCCCUAUGUCACGUGCCAGUCUCGAUUGCAAUUCUCAUCUACAUCCUCCCACAUUGAAGCAUUUCCCCAUCAAUAUCACUCCUCACCUGGUUACCUUUCCGCAUGUGGAGCUCCCAUGCCUCUCAGUUCCAUGUAUUGCCUACCUUCAGUGUAUACAUUCUAUGUAAUGUCGGCAUCAGAAACUGACUGUCGUGUUGCUCCGAUAGAUUCUGCUGGGCAAUCUGUGUUCUUUCAGUAGCGUGACUUGCUCCAGGUGACGGCACCUACAGUAUCCUGUGUUUUCUUUAAAACAAUUGUUACUGGCUUCACAAACAAGAGUAUUUAGUAGGAUGGGCUAAACGAUAGGGGAACUGCGCUUAAAUCUCACCGUUGCACUGUAGAUGUCUAGAGAUAUUUUAUAAACGUGGACUAAACGUAAUUUGUACAUGUUGCUAAUCUACAACGAUAACUUCGUCUUUGUUCGGUAUGUGUUUUGCAAUGGGUAAUAUUAAGUAUUUAAUGCCCUGCAGAAGAGAAACUGAAAGCAAGAGAUAGAGAUCUUCUCAAGUGCAAAGAAAAUAUAAACGCCCUUGAGGAGAAGCUGAAAUUGAAAGGCACAGAUUUAAAUCAAUCCGAAGAUACUAUAUCCGAUUUAGAGGAAAAGUUGCACACAAAAGCCAAAG